AACGAACGCUGGCGGCAUGCCUAACACAUGCAAGUCGAACGUGAUCCGGGGCUUCGGUUCCGGUGAAAGUGGCGGACGGGUGAGUAACGCGUGGGAACCUGCCCAGUGGUAGGGGAUAACCGCGGGAAACUGCGGCUAAUACCCUAUGUGCCCUGCGGGGCAAAGAUUCAUCGCCAUUGGAGGGGCCCGCGUCGGAUUAGGUAGUUGGUGGGGUAACGGCCUACCAAGCCAUCGAUCCGUAGCUGGUCUGAGAGGAUGAUCAGCCACACUGGGACUGAGACACGGCCCAGACUCCUACGGGAGGCAGCAGUGGGGAGUAUUGGACAAUGGGGGCAACCCUGAUCCAGCAAUGCCGCGUGAGUGAUGAAGGCCUUAGGGUUGUAAAGCUCUUUCGGCGGGGAAGAUGAUGACGGUACCCGCAGAAGAAGCCCCGGCUAACUUCGUGCCAGCCGCCGCCGUAACAC
rnacentral:rRNA from 1 species